GCUUUAAGUUGUCCCCCUGGGAGUACGGCCGCAAGGUUAAAACUCAAAUGAAUUGACGGGGACCCGCACAAGCGGUGGAGCAUGUGGUUUAAUUCGAUGCAACGCGAAAAACCUUACCUACUCUUGACAUACUUGGAAGCUCUUGUAAUGAGAGUGUGCUUUUAGAGCCAAGAUACAGGUGCUGCAUGGCUGUCGUCAGCUCGUGUCGUGAGAUGUUGGGUUAAGUCCCAUAACGAGCGCAACCCUUACCCUUAUUUGCCAGCGGUUCGGCCGGGAACUAUAAGGGGACUGCCGGUGACAAACCGGAGGAAGGUGAGGACGACGUCAAGUCAUCAUGGCCCUUACGAGUAGGGCUACACACGUGCUACAAUGGGGAAUACAGACGGACGCUAAAGCGUGAGCUGGUGCCAAUCCUAAAAAAUUUCUCGUAGUCCGGAUUGCAGUCUGCAACUCGACUGCAUGAAGUCGGAAUCGCUAGUAAUCGCGAAUCAGCAUGUCGCGGUGAAUACGUUCUCGGGUCUUGUACACACCGCCCGUCACACCAUGGAAGUGUGUUGCACCAGAAGUAGGUAGUCUAACCUUCGGGAAGGCGCUUACCACGGUGUGAUCCAUGACUGGGGUGAAGUCGUAACAAGGUA
rnacentral:rRNA from 1 species